rnacentral:rRNA from 1 species
GACGAACGCUGGCGGCGUGCUUAACACAUGCAAGUCGAACGGAAAGGCCCUGCUUUUGUGGGGUGCUCGAGUGGCGAACGGGUGAGUAACACGUGAGUAACCUGCCCUUGACUUUGGGAUAACUUCAGGAAACUGGGGCUAAUACCGGAUAGGAGCUCCUGCUGCAUGGUGGGGGUUGGAAAGUUUCGGCGGUUGGGGAUGGACUCGCGGCUUAUCAGCUUGUUGGUGGGGUAGUGGCUUACCAAGGCUUUGACGGGUAGCCGGCCUGAGAGGGUGACCGGCCAAAUUGGGAAUGAGGUACGGCCCAGACUCCUACGGGAGGCAAGAGUGGGGAAUAUUGCAAAAUGGGGGGAAGCCUGAUGCAGCAACGCCGCGUGCGGGAUGACGGCCUUCGGGUUGUAAACCGCUUUCGCCUGUGACGAAGCGUGAGUGACGGUAAUGGGUAAAGAAGCACCGGCUAACUACGUG